rnacentral:rRNA from 1 species
CCUACGGGAGACAGCAGUGAGGAAUAUUGGUCAAUGGGCGCGAGCCUGAACCAGCCAAGUAGCGUGAAGGAUGACUGCCCUACGGGUUGUAAACUUCUUUUAUAAAGGAAUAAAGUGCGGCACGUGUGCCUUUUUGUCUGUACUUUAUGAAUAAGGAUCGGCUAACUCUGGGCCAGCAGCCGCGGUAAUACGGAGGGACCGAGUGUUAUCCGGAUUUAUUGGGUUUAACGGGAGCGUAGAUGGGUUGUUAAGUCAGUUGUGAAAGUUUGCGGCUCAACCGUAAAAUUGCAAUUGAUACUGGCAGGCUUGAGUACAGUAGAGGUAAGCGGAAUUCGUAGUGUAGCGGUGAAAUGCUUAGAUAUCACGAAGAACUCCGAUUGCGAAGGCAGCUUACUAAACUGCCACUGACAUUGAUGCUCGAAAGUGUGGGUAUCAAACAGGAUUAGAUACCCUUGUAGUC